rnacentral:rRNA from 1 species
CCUACGGGUGGCUGCAGUGGGGAAUAUUGCACAAUGGGCGGAAGCCUGAUGCAGCAACGCCGCGUGAAGGAAGACGGUUUUCGGAUUGUAAACUUCUAUCAAUAGGGAAGAAAGAAAUGACGGUACUUAAAUAAGAAGCCGCGGCUAACUACGUGCCAACAGCCGCCGUAAUACGUAGGGGGCAAGCGUUAUCCGGAAUUAGUGGGUGUAAAGGGCGUGUAGGCGGCAAGGUAAGCGAUAUGUGAAAGCCUUGGGCUUAACCUGAGGAUUGCAUAACAAACUAGCUAGCUAGAGUACAGGAGAGGAAAGCGGAAUGCCUGGUGUAGCGGUGAAAUGCGUAGAUAUUAGGAAGAACACCGGUGGCGAAGGCGGCUUUCUGGACUGAAACUGACGCUGAGGCUCGAAAGCGUGGGGAGCGAACAGGAUUAGAUACCCCAGUAGUC